rnacentral:misc_RNA from 1 species
AAGUGCGAAAAGUAGUGCGACCUGCAUAGAUCUGUGAGACAUGGAGUAUUUGAACGCACAUGGCGCCUGGUGAGAGCUGGGCAUGGGUGGGUGAGGGUUGGAUCAUGAUAGGUGAUGAGGUCUGAAUGUGGGCGGCUGUCCGGAUUGACCUUGAAAGCGAGAACCUGGUCGGCAGAGACCCGCCUGUGAUGGCGUGCACAGCACGAGUGACAGGAUGGCCUCUGUGGACACGGGCAAGCAGGAGACUGUGCAGUGUGUGCAUUUUGCCACAUUGCACACUACAUUCACAACCUCAUCCACGCAGGACCACCCGCUGAACUUAA